ACGUCACAGAUCGCGUUCACCUUUUAGCACUGUGUGGAACUUCUCUCAAAUCAAUGAUGUCUUGUUUUAUGAAAGUAUAGCAACAUACUUGGGCAAACAAAUGCCUCUCGUCUCAUGUUUUCUGAUGGUGAAAAUUAGGACUCUUGGAUUCAAUCCCCACGAAUUUGCUGUUGCUGGUGUUUCUUCCUGGCUGGGUUUGAAAGAGAGGCUGUGGCUGUCGCGUGUUUGACGCUUGAGUAUCCAGCAAGACUCCACCUUCAGCUCGGUCUACCUGGGAGAUGUUGUGAUUCCUUCAGAGUACUUGAAAAGCAUCUUCUUGGACCACAAGGUGCUGGUUGGGCUUGAAUAACCACCAACCCCCCAAAAGUGUCCUGCCCUGCCAAAAUAUCAUCAAUGGGCUUAAUACAGAGGAGAUUGGUAAAGCUCCAGGAGAAGGUUGAAGCAUUGAAGAAAUUUCCUCAGCCACCGAUCAAAACCCAGGGGAAAAUUGGACGAGAGCCUGUCAGCAAGGGUCAAAGAAGAAAGAGAACAGUUACUACAAAGAUGUGUGUAAUAAGAAGUCUUCACCUAUAAAGUAAUAACUAUGAGAAAAUAUUGAAGUGACUUAAUUUGCACCACUCUCUUUGUUUGGCUUAAGUUUUUAAUUUAAUCUAAUAAAAACGAAUUCAUAGAACUGAUAAUGCUGAAUAAUUUUCUCAGCAACUGCAAGUAAGCAAUUUGUAGGUCAGUGUGGAAGGAAAUAUGCAUACUUUGACUGGGCCUCGUAUAGGACUUAUCACAAUCCAUGUGUUGUCAUGUCUCAUUGGCAUUUCCAAAAGCAAUUUCUCCUUUAUAUUCUUCUUUUAUAUUCCAUUAUGGAAUCCCAUUUCCACAUAUGCCAUAUUAUCUCACAAUUUCAAAUUUUUUUGAGUCUUGAUUUUAUAUCUCACUGUUCUGACUUUGUUUCUCGCAAUUCUAAGAAAACAGUCAAAAUCACAAAAUAUAAACAAAACUGUGAGAUAUAAAUUUGCAAUUCUGAAUUGCGAGACAAACUCACUCACAAAAAGACAAUUUUUUAUUUUUGUUUCGUCGAGGAAAUAAAAAAGUGAAAAUUGCGAGAUGUAAAUUCAGAAUAAAAAAGUAAAAACAGGUAAUUGCUACUUUUAAAAAAAGACACAAACCCAAAACUGUAAGAGAAAAUGUUAGAAUUCUGAGUUUAUAUUUUGCAAUUCUCAUUUUGUUUCUCAGAAUUGCCAGUUUAUAUAUUGCAAUUCUGACAUUUCUUUUUCUCCUUUUUUGCCGAGAAACAAAUUGUGAUAAGUCUGAAUUGUGAGAUAAAAAGUCGUAAUUACCUUGUUAAUUUUUAAAAUAAAUAUUUAAUACGUGGUAGAAAUGGGGUUCCAUAGCUUGUUUUCUAGUCCAGCUUUCCAAUGAACCUGGCAUUGUAUUGCUUGGCUCUGUGACAAAUUGUGUUCCUCUAUUGUUGUUCGGUUAAAAGCAUCUGCUGAAUGCCACAUCUGAUUCUAAAUAUUAGCAUUGUCAAACUUGCAUUUAUGUCAGAGGCAAUUCGCACAAUGCAGCUUGGAGAAAUCAACUUAACCAAAAAUAUAAAACUUUACUGUAGUUCACUUAAAAAAUAAAUUUGUC